UUCGCAAUGCCCGAAAGGGUGACGAAGCGACGCCGCGUGUGGGAAGAAGGCCUUCGGGUUGUAAACCACUGUUGGGAGUUAGGAAAUGUGGAGGUGUUAAUAGCGCUUUCACUUGACUAAAGCUCCAGAGGAAGCCACGGCUAACUCUGUGCCAGCAGCCGCGGUAAUACAGAGGCGGCAAGCGUUGUUCGGAAUUAUUGGGCGUAAAGAGCACGUAGGCGGCUCUGCAAGUCAGCUGUGAAAGCCUUCUGCCUAACGGAAGAACGGCAGUUGAAACUACAGGGCUUGAGUGCGGGAGGGGAGAGUGGAACUUCUGGUGGAGCGGUGAAAUGCGUAGAUAUCAGAAGGAACGCCGGCGGCGAAAGCGGCUCUCUGGCUCGUAACUGACGCUGAGUGUGCGAAAGCUAGGGGAGCAAACGGGAUUAGAUACCCCGGUAGUCCUAGCCGUAAACGAUGGGCACUAAGUAGAGGGGUUUU
rnacentral:rRNA from 1 species